rnacentral:tRNA from 1 species
GAGGAUGCAUCUCAGUGGUAGAGCAGGAGCCUAGCAUGCAUGAGGUCCUGGGUGGAUUGAUCCCCAGCAUCUUAA